UGCAAAUGAUGCUCAAUAUUUGCUAUCUGAGCACUAAUGAUGACUACUAACCACCAAGAUCGCUGAUGCA
ensembl:snoRNA SNORD24 Small nucleolar RNA SNORD24